rnacentral:rRNA from 1 species
UAGAACGCUGAAGCUUGGUGCUUGCACCGAGCGGAUGAGUUGCGAACGGGUGAGUAACGCGUAGGUAACCUGCCUGGUAGCGGGGGAUAACUAUUGGAAACGAUAGCUAAUACCGCAUAAAAUGGAUUAUCGCAUGAUAAUUCAUUGAAAGGUGCAAAUGCAUCACUACCAGAUGGACCUGCGUUGUAUUAGCUAGUUGGUGGGGUAACGGCUCACCAAGGCGACGAUACAUAGCCGACCUGAGAGGGUGAUCGGCCACACUGGGACUGAGACACGGCCCAGACUCCUACGGGAGGCAGCAGUAGGGAAUCUUCGGCAAUGGACGGAAGUCUGACCGAGCAACGCCGCGUGAGUGAAGAAGGUUUUCGGAUCGUAAAGCUCUGUUGUAAGAGAAGAACGAGUGUGAGAGUGGAAAGUUCACACUGUGACGGUAUCUUACCAGAAAGGGACGGCUAACUACGUGCCAGCAGCCGCGGUAAUACGUAGGUCCCGAGCGUUGUCCGGAUUUAUUGGGCGUAAAGCGAGCGCAGGCGGUCAGAUAAGUCUGAAGUUAAAGGCUGUGGCUUAACCAUAGUACGCUUUGGAAACUGUUUAACUUGAGUGCAAGAGGGGAGAGUGGAAUUCCAUGUGUAGCGGUGAAAUGCGUAGAUAUAUGGAGGAACACCGGUGGCGAAAGCGGCUCUCUGGCUUGUAACUGACGCUGAGGCUCGAAAGCGUGGGGAGCAAACAGGAUU